GAAGAAGGAGGGAGGCGUGCUUAACACAUGCAAGUCGAACGGAAAGGCCCUGCUUUUGUGGGGUGCUCGAGUGGCGAACGGGUGAGUAACACGUGAGUAACCUGCCCUUGACUUUGGGAUAACUUCAGGAAACUGGGGCUAAUACCGGAUAGGAGCUCCUGCUGCAUGGUGGGGGUUGGAAAGUUUCGGCGGUUGGGGAUGGACUCGCGGCUUAUCAGCUUGUUGGUGGGGUAGUGGCUUACCAAGGCUUUGACGGGUAGCCGGCCUGAGAGGGUGACCGGCCACAUUGGGACUGAGAUACGGCCCAGACUCCUACGGGAGGCAGCAGUGGGGAAUAUUGCACAAUGGGCGGAAGCCUGAUGCGGCAACGCCGCGUGCGGGAUGACGGCCUUCGGGUUGUAAACCGCUUUCGCCUGUGACGAAGCGUGAGUGACGGUAAUGGGUAAAGAAGCACCGGCUAACUACGUG
rnacentral:rRNA from 1 species